rnacentral:snRNA from 1 species
GGACGUGGGUGAUCUGGCUGCAACAUCGGUCCCCUACUGGCCGCCAGGGUCGACUCGGCGGGUCUGGCUGGCCAGAGGGUGAGCCCUUCCUCCUCACCACGCUGUGUGUGUCCCUCCUGAAGCUGUGCGCUCGACCAAAGAGACAGCCUUCCCGCACAGGGACGGACCUGUUCUUCAGCCCAGGGUAUCGGCAGUCGCGCGCCUGCCAGGACGUCCUGCUGAUGAAGGUUCAGGCAGGGGCACAGACAGCA